rnacentral:lncRNA from 1 species
GGGGUAUUCUGGUUGCCUUACCCAGCUCUGAAGUCUGUCAGCCUCUUCAGAUGUCACUUGCCCUGUGGUAAGGAAGUGUAGUCAGCACCUGGUGCAGUGGCAAGAAGAGAAAGGAAGUUCCCCAAGACAGAAACAUCUCAGCAGUGAGUUCCUGAUGAGGGAAGGGAAGUGAAUCCUAAGAACAAUCAUGUGAGUUUGGAAGGAGACCCUUCCCCAGCUGAGCCUCAGCCUGAGCCAUCACCUACAUCUAGACCGAAGACCCAGAGAAACCGCAACAUUCGAAACCCAGGUGCCACUCCUUCAGGAAGGUACCAUCAAGCUCCAAGGACUCUUAUCCUCUUUCUCCUUCCCCACUACCUAGUCAUUAGAGCGUCAGCAUCCACUUCUUGAAAGGAAGAUGCCUGUUUUUCACAUAUCCCAGAAAACCCCAUUUUAGGACAGCAUUUAGCAGAGUAUAUUCAGGAUCCCACUAACCUUUUUGGAAGACAUGACUUCCAGAUGAUAUAAGGCAAGAAUAAGAAAUUUCAGUGACAGGGAACAGAAAUCAUAUUUCUGCAUUCAGGAUCAUGUUUUCUUGGCUCCAUCAGGAACUGUGCAGGACUGUGCACUCUGUUGAUACUCACAUGGUGGAAUUAUAUUGCCUUUGGCCAACCCUAAAGCCAUCAAGAUAGCAGGUCUGGUCUACCGAGAAGAGAGAUCAAAGAGCUCUUCAGCUGUUCCCAGCUCCCCACACAAAUCUACCUAACAAAGUCCCGAUAAACAGUCUGUUUUCUGGAGUCUAUCAAUACUGAUGAGGUCUUGUUCUUUUGGCCAGGCUGGAGUGCAGUGGUACAGUCGUGACUCACUGCAGCUUCAAACACCUGGGUUCCAGCAUUCAUCCCACUUCAGCCUCCCGUGUAGCCGGGACUACAGAUUUGUCUUUCCUUUUGGCUGAGACCGUGGUAACCAAUAAACUCUUUACUUUCUCUA